UCACUGAUGGUCCAGUGGCUAAGACACUGCACUCCCAAUGCAGGGAAACCAGGUUUGAUCCCUGGUCAGGGAA
rfam:TPA: Bos taurus chromosome 13, whole genome shotgun sequence.